UUGGGGAGGAACCGGGUGACCCUGUGGUGGCACCUGGUUGUAUGGUAGGGCACCAAAUUGUACUAUAGUAGUACCAGAUGAUACGGUGAAGGGGCAAGGUUGUAUCAAAAUGGCACUAAAUCCUCUUGUUGUAGAGGUGGAUUAUACUGUGACAAUGGUUAGAUGGUCAAACAACUCCCUCCUCUCUUCCCUGGCCUGUUGGGCAGAUAUGAGUCUCCCCAGCAUCUCGAAUAGCCGAUAACAUCCUCUCGAAGAGACCCAUCUCGAGCUACUCUAUUCAGUAAGGGCCUUCCUCUCCUCAUGUCUUUGUACUUAUUUUUCACAUUGAACGGUUAAAAGAUAGUUUGUCUUUGGUAUUUUUAAGUCUUUGUGUAAGGAAUGGUCCC
rnacentral:lncRNA from 1 species